rnacentral:rRNA from 1 species
CCCAGACUCCUACGGGAGGCAGCAGUGGGGAAUAUUGGGCAAUGGGCGAAAGCCUGACCCAGCAACGCCGCGUGAAGGAAGAAGGCUUUCGGGUUGUAAACUUCUUUUGACAGGGAAGAGCAGAAGACGGUACCUGUCGAAUAAGCCACGGCUAACUACGUGCCAGCAGCCGCGGUAAUACGUAGGUGGCAAGCGUUGUCCGGAUUUACUGGGUGUAAAGGGCGUGCAGCCGGGCUGACAAGUCAGAUGUGAAAUCCCGCGGCUCAACCGCGGAACUGCAUUUGAAACUGUCAGUCUUGAGUACCGGAGAGGUCAUCGGAAUUCCUUGUGUAGCGGUGAAAUGCGUAGAUAUAAGGAAGAACACCAGUGGCGAAGGCGGAUGACUGGACGGCAACUGACGGUGAGGCGCGAAAGCGUGGGGAGCAAACAGGAUUAGAUACCCGUGUA